rnacentral:rRNA from 1 species
UUUAUGGAGAGUUUGAUCCUGGCUCAGGAUGAACGCUGGCGGCGUGCCUAAUACAUGCAAGUCGAGCGAACGGACGAGAAGCUUGCUUCUCUGAUGUUAGCGGCGGACGGGUGAGUAACACGUGGAUAACCUACCUAUAAGACUGGGAUAACUUCGGGAAACCGGAGCUAAUACCGGAUAAUAUUUUGAACCGCAUGGUUCGAAAGUGAAAGACGGUCUUGCUGUCACUUAUAGAUGGAUCCGCGCUGCAUUAGCUAGUUGGUAAGGUAACGGCUUACCAAGGCAACGAUGCAUAGCCGACCUGAGAGGGUGAUCGGCCACACUGGAACUGAGACACGGUCCAGACUCCUACGGGAGGCAGCAGUAGGGAAUCUUCCGCAAUGGGCGAAAGCCUGACGGAGCAACGCCGCGUGAGUGAUGAAGGUCUUCGGAUCGUAAAACUCUGUUAUUAGGGAAGAACAUAUGUGUAAGUAACUGUGCACAUCUUGACGGUACCUAAUCAGAAAGCCACGGCUAACUACGUGCCAGCAGCCGCGGUAAUACGUAGGUGGCAAGCGUUAUCCGGAAUUAUUGGGCGUAAAGCGCGCGUAGGCGGUUUUUUAAGUCUGAUGUGAAAGCCCACGGCUCAACCGUGGAGGGUCAUUGGAAACUGGAAAACUUGAGUGCAGAAGAGGAAAGUGGAAUUCCAUGUGUAGCGGUGAAAUGCGCAGAGAUAUGGAGGAACACCAGUGGCGAAGGCGACU